AGGGGUAUAGCUCAGUUGGUAGAGCACUGGUCUCCAAAACCAGGUGUCGGGGGUUCAAGUCCCUCUGCCCCUGCCA
rnacentral:tRNA from 1 species